CCUACGGGAGGCAGCAGUGGGGAAUAUUGGACAAUGGGCGAAAGCCUGAUCCAGCCAUGCCGCGUGUGUGAAGAAGGCCUUCGGGUUGUAAAGCACUUUCAGUGGGGAAGAAAGCCUUGGGGCUAAUACCCUCGAGGAAGGACAUCACCCACAGAAGAAGCACCGGCUAACUCCGUGCCAGCAGCCGCGGUAAUACGGAGGGUGCGAGCGUUAAUCGGAAUUACUGGGCGUAAAGCGCGCGUAGGCGGUCUGAUAAGCCGGUUGUGAAAGCCCCGGGCUCAACCUGGGAACGGCAUCCGGAACUGUCAGGCUAGAGUGCAGGAGAGGAAGGUAGAAUUCCCGGUGUAGCGGUGAAAUGCGUAGAGAUCGGGAGGAAUACCAGUGGCGAAGGCGGCCUUCUGGACUGACACUGACGCUGAGGUGCGAAAGCGUGGGUAGCAAACAGGAUUAGAUACCUUUGUAGUC
rnacentral:rRNA from 1 species